UAGGUAGUUCUUAAUAAUUUAUGAAGGUUAGUUGAUAAAAAAUUAUUGCUAAUUAAUUAGUGGUUCUUAAGUGCCGUUAUUUUGUGUUUGAAAGGUUUUUAUAACUGAAUACGAUAGUGAAACCAUGUGAAGCUGUGAACGGCUUUCGGACUCAGUUAUUCGGUUGCAGUUGUGCGGUAGUUCACGCCUCGUGCUUCUUGAUGAAAGUAUUUUCUUUUCGGACAUCAUGACGCACAUUUUAGUGGAAUGCUUUAACGACGAUAAGUGGGACGUUUACCCGGUGAAGUGGUUGGCUCACCCAACAACUAGUCUUCUACUGAUGUGCGAGCCUGACGGUUUUGAUGAGUUGCGCGGCAGAGGCCAUGAUGCCUGUUGGAGAGAAGGCACCCCGAAGCAGUCGCAGCCGCACUUCUGAAGAUAGGUUACGUAUGCAGUAAAUUCCCAGAUGUUAAAGUGUUCUACGCCAAAAGCACCUUGGCGUCAUGCAAGAGACACCCGUUGUUAUGCGGCUGAUUCACUAGCAAGCUCGCAUCAAGUGGGAUUUUCAACUAUUUUUUGUGUUACUCUGUGGUGUACCAGCUGCUGCAUGGAUGCUGUGAAGGCUUACUUUCGAUUUGCUCUGGCGUUUAGUAGUAAAGGAUGGGCUACCUUUUGAGGGGAGGCAUUUAUUUUUGUUUGUGAGAAUGUUUACCAGCCUAACCAAGUGAUACGUGGGUACUGUAAACAGCAGCACGAACAGAGGCGGACGACGAAAUAGGUAGGAGCACACACGAGCGCAAGCUCUACUAAAUGUUUGCUUUUGAUGAAAAAGGUAUUAAACACACUGGUCAACUUGGCAAAGGUUAAAAUCCGUGCGUGCGUGGCAGAAACAGCCACGUGCGACAAGAAAAAAAUAUGAAAAAGCCAUGUCAUGUAGAAUAAACGUGCGUGAAAAACGAGAACUUUCGGUCAAAUCUAUUGAAAACGCGAAAGAUUUGUCCGAUAAGUGAUACUACCCAACGGGAAAUACUCUUUUGAGAGCAACUUUUUCCCCACUAAGGGCAACAGAUAACUUGGUUACGCAAUUGUUUCGUUUGUGAUCAAUAAAUAUUGCUUCUGGAACUCCUCUGGUGUUGCGGUAAAGAGCAGAAAGAACGAUUCUUUCAUCACAGAGACCAGAACACAAAAGGACUUACGGAAGCAUUAUUUAUUGAUCACGAAGAAAUAUUCAUAAACAAGAUUUCUGUGACCCUUAGUGGGAAAGAGUUGCUACAGUACUUCUCGUUAAUAUCGCUUACAGGAGAAAGCUUUCAGUUUUCAUGUUUUUGUUAGUUUUUGGCGCACAUGUUUAUUCUACAGGACGUAUUUCGGUCCUUUUUUGUUGUGCCGGGCUGUGUAUGCUGAGCAUCCAUGGCUUUUUCUUUGUGAAGUUGGCCAGUAUGUUUAAAAUCUUCGUCUUCACGAAUAAACUUCUACUUGAGUCAGCAUUCAUGUGUGUUCCUACCUUAAUUCAUCCUUCUCGUCUCUGUUUGGGUGGUUGUGAAAUAUAAAUGUACACCGAAUUGGCGAAGUGUCCAUAGAAUUGAUACAUGAAGUUAUUUGCGCUGUUCAUUUCAGGAAGAACGCUAUAGGGUCUUAUCUUCUCUUUGUUUUCGACACUGAGUACAUUUUUCUAGUUCAAUUUCAAGGAGUCUAAGGAAGCCGAUAAGAGUGAUGGUAACUUCCUUUGUGUGUAACAUUUAUGAAUUUCAUCCAUUCAAGGCAUGACAUGGUACAUGCCUGAUUGUAGGUUGCAAGCAUUCGUAGUAAGAUCUACUUUUCGGUUCUCAUGACGCUUCUUUGUACUGCGCUGCAUUCUCCAGGCACAUGAACCUUUUUAUGCUCUAAGUGCAUGCGUUCUUUUUCUAUAUGUUGGAGCGAAAAUUGUAAACUUAAAUAUGCAUAUAUAUCCUUUUCCUUGUAAUCUUUUUCAACAUGGGUGCGCUGUAGCUCCCUCUGUCUUUCAGUUACUGCUUUGUCCCAAUUUUUAUGCAACCUUUGUAUAUUUUAUGCAGCAGAAUUCUGGUGCUAUUUUAAUAACAUUUUAUCUGUGAAAUUGAGGUAAUUGGUGUUUCGUAUAUGGUUUAUUUGCGUUUUUCACUGUCUCAGCAAUCGGGCUGUCUAGUCAUUGGAACCUUUUCUCAUACUGUAAGACUAUUUCUGGGGUGCUUGAUGCUGAAAGUGCAGGUGACCAUUUAUUUGGCUGUUUGGAAUUGUGUUAUCCAUGUGUUACUACCAAUUUUCUGUGCUAAAUAAUUAUUUUUUCUCUUAUCGUUCAAGGUAUUACCCUUUCCUUAUCUCUUUAUUGACUGAGGUAGCACUUAGUUGCUGGGUAUAGGAAAAAAGGCCCCAAAAGUGCUUUAAUUAGCUUUGUGCAAGUCCAGAAAUAUUACCUGAAAAUGAGCUCACUAAAUUGAGGAAAUGCCACUAACGAACUCCUCUGUACCCCAAAUUAACUUAAUCAAACGGCGUACUGUUUGUUCUUGACUUGUACCAUGGGAUAAGCUGCUUUCAUUACACAAAAGCUUUACAAGUUUAUUUCUGAAGAAAGCAAUCCUGGCUUGUCAGAAACACAAUUCAGGUGUUCAUCAUGCCCGACAACUUUCUAAAUGAUGUCUCGUCAAAUAAUAGCUAAGUUGAGUGAUGUUAUUUUAUAAAAUAAUUGGGCAACAUGAAAAAAUAUAUAUCUCGAAAACAAAGCUCAGGCAAGUCUACUUUGGUACUUCAUUAAAUUUUAAUCACGGUGAAAGACGCGUGCUAAAGGUUGUAUAUAUUUACGUGAAGUCAUUCGUUUCAAGUUGGUUAUUUUGCCUUCUUACAGUCAGCCGUAGCUCUUCCUGUGAUGUGUUAGUGUGCGCAACAUUUUAAUGUAACAUAUUCAGAUGUCUUUUGUGUAUUCACAUGCAAGCAGCUCCAAGUGUUCAUGUGUUCAAAGUUGGUUGUUGCAACGGUAUGCUUAAGCCCUGCCUUUUGAGUCGCUUUGCCUUCUAGUCAUAAACUUCAGUCGAUAGUGAAGAGCACAAUGAUCCUUUUGAUUGGAUUCAUAUGUAUAGGUUUUUUCAAAUGUAUUUACACUGCUAGAGUGCUGUAGGUACUAGCCUGUGUCUCCAGCUUCGAUGUAGUGGUGCCUUAUGUACUGUAAUAAUGUUUCACGUGCACACAUCUUUAGUGUAAAUAAAGGUACUUCAAGUUGA